CCGGAGUCAGGGCCAGUCGAGUCGCGCCGCCCAUGCUGUGACCCUUCAUGGGUCCCUAGUCACGUGGAGGAAGUGGCAACACUGAUUCCCCGUCACCCACAAACAUUUGACAGUUCGCCGAAACCAACAGACGCCGGUACAUCGAGUCAAAGAUAUUGGCACUUAAAAAUAUUGCAUUAUGGAGAACGCUGGUCGAAAACAACGAAAAAGACCCGAAAAAUCGGUAAUUGAAGAGGCAGUCGCUGAAGUUGGAGGCAGUCGCUGUUUUUGUUGGGCUCAUGAGUCUUGUGGCAUAUAGGGCAUUUGAAUUUUUUUGUAAGAUAUAUUAUGUUUCUAAUUAUGAAAAAAAUAUGUUACAUAUUCCAUGUUGCUAACAGUAUGAUUUUUAUAAUUAAUGAAUAGAGAGAUAUUUAAGCUCAAAGUUAGCAAUAUUACUUUUGAAGUUCCUGAAGAUUUAUUGAUGUUGGUUUUGAUAGAAGGUUUAUUUUUUAUUUAUUUUAGAGACUGUUAUUAAUAAAAAGCCGCCUAUAUGUUAGGUUAUAUAGUAGAUAUAUGUACCUAUGACUGAUUAAUUAUGUUAAGAUUAAAGCGUUACAAACGAUUACUUAAAAUGACUGAUAGAAUUAAAAUUUUCUUAAAAAUGUUAGUAACUACUUAAAGAAAUUUGUUAUAAUUGUAUUAAGAGUUUUUUUUCAUGUCGCAUUUAUUAUUAUUUUUGAUAAUUUUCUUAAUAAGGCGUUGUAAUACGAACCGGCUCUUUCAAAACUUGUAGCAGCUCUUUCAAUACUGAAUUGUUUUGAAAGAGCCAAAUGACACAUUUUUUUGAAAUGCAUAUUUCGUUGGUUUUUAUAUAUUGUUUAAGAUUUGUUUGUACGAAAUUACAUGCUCAAAUAAAUAAAGAAUAAUUUACAAACAAAAUAAUAACAUUUU